UACGUAGGUGGCAAGCGUUGUUCGGAAUUACUGGGCGUAAAGCGCACGUAGGCGGAUCGAUCAGUCAGGGGUGAAAUCCCAGAGCUCAACUCUGGAACUGCCUUUGAUACUGUCGAUCUGGAGUAUGGAAGAGGUGAGUGGAAUUCCGAGUGUAGAGGUGAAAUUCGUAGAUAUUCGGAGGAACACCAGUGGCGAAGGCGGCUCACUGGUCCAUUACUGACGCUGAGGUGCGAAAGCGUGGGGAGCAAACAGG
rnacentral:rRNA from 1 species